CUGGUCUCACACCCACCGUCGAUGUCUCCAGCUCGCUUCCUCUCUUUCAUCCAACGGCUUCACCCGCGGCCACGUCGUUUCCGUUAUUGCUCCCAAUACUCCCGCCAUGUACGAGCUUCAGUUCGCCGUUCCCAUGUCCGGUGCUGUCCUCAACAACAUCAACACUCGCCUGGACGCGCGUACCAUCUCCAUACUCCUGCGUCACAGCGAAUCAAAGCUCGUCUUCGUUGAUUGCUUGUCACGUGCUGUUAUCCUUGAAGCUAUCUCUUUGUUUCCACCUAACUCUCCACGUCCUGCCCUCGUCCUCAUCACCGAUGAUGAUCAGGCACCAGAGUUAUCAUCACCAUCAUCACUGACCGUUGAUUUUUGUUGUACGUACGAAAGCAUGGUGGAGAAGGGUGAUCCGGCGUUCAACUGGGUCCAGCCUCAAAGCGAGUGGGAUCCGAUGGUUUUGAACUAUACAUCAGGUACUACCUCAUCUCCUAAAGGUGUGGUACACUGCCACAGGGGGGUUUUCAUCGUAACCGUUGAAUCCCUGAUUGAUUGGAGUGUUCCAAGACAACCUGUUUAUUUGUGGACCCUUCCAAUAUUCCACGCCAACGGAUGGAGCUACCCGUGGGGUAUAGCUGCGGUUGGUGGGACCAACAUCUGUCUUCGUAAAUUCGAUGGCCCUACUAUCUUCGGCAU
rnacentral:misc_RNA from 1 species